UUUACAUUAUGUUUUUUCCUUUGAAAUCUUCUAAAUUCUCUCCCAUCUUCCAUUUAUUCUCCAAAGUUGUCUUCUAGCUGUGCCGUCUCAAACACCGCUGCAUAAUAAGUACGGCAACCGGAGCUCAAAUAUAGAGAGCUCCCAACAACCACUUCAGGUGCAAUCUAGAAAAGCAUCUCUCAGCCCAAUCAUUGGUCCCUGGCUCAAGCAAUCAGCUGAAUGAUAGAAAUGCCAUGUACCGAGACCAACCGACGACAUCUUAGCUCCGGUCUUCAAUUCGAAGAAAAUUUGGGCGUGUGCUUCUCGUUGACGAGGAGGAGACGUAGGCCGCGAAUGAGCCAUUGAUUUUUCUAGUGUUAUUUUCUUUUCUUGUUUUCUUUGCUUGAGAUGAGAAGCAUGACAAACAACUCAUUCUUCAACUAUUGCAUUGUAUUUUAUUCUUUACAAGUAAUUUCUUGAUUCCACCGAUUCAAUUCUUUUGUUAUUGGUAUUGGUGAUUUGUUCGGUGGCUUUAGGGUGGUGAUUUUAUCAAUAUGAUUAAUGAUUUCGCUA